GGGGCGUAGCUCAGUUGGGAGAGCGCCUGCUUCGCAUGCAGGAGGUCGAGAGUUCGAAUCUCUUCGUCUCC
rnacentral:tRNA from 1 species